rnacentral:rRNA from 1 species
UACGUAGGGGGCAAGCGUUGUCCGGAAUCAUUGGGCGUAAAGAGCUCGUAGGCGGUGUGUCACGUCGGCCGUGAAAACCUGCAGCUUAACUGCGGCUGCAGUCGAUACGGGCAGGCUAGAGUUCGGUAGGGGAGACUGGAAUUCCUGGUGUAGCGGUGAAAUGCGCAGAUAUCAGGAGGAACACCGGUGGCGAAGGCGGGUCUCUGGGCCGAUGACUGACGCUGAGGAGCGAAAGCGUGGGAGCGAACAGG